rnacentral:tRNA from 1 species
AAAGGGAGACCUAAUUCGGGUAGGAGACGAAAAAAAAGUAGUCGCUACCAAGAAUCAAUCCCAAAAGGUCGGAGCGAGGCGAAAUUGGCUUUCAAACUAGGUUCUGGGUUCACACAAGACCUGAAUCAGGAACAAGGGCUAUUAGCUCAGGUGGUUAGAGCGCACCCCUGAUAAGGGUGAGGUCCCUGGUUCGAGUCCAGGAUGGCCCACCUGCACAGGUGGCAAAAACAAGAGAAGCGAGGAAUCAGCACCUUAUCUUACUUACAUAGUAAGAGAGAAUGCUGGCUCUGAGUAAAGAGUCCAGAGGAACCUUGAAAACUGCAUAGAGCUAGGUGAAAAAGCCAAAAAAGAAGACCGCAAG